AUGGCCGCGGGAUUGACGGAUCCAGAGUUUGAUUAUGGCUCAGGACGAACGCUGGCGGCGUGCUUAACACAUGCAAGUCGAACGGUGAAGCUCCAGCUUGCUGGGGUGGAUGAGUGGCGAACGGGUGAGUAACACGUGAGUHACCUGCCCCCUUCUUCUGGAUAACUGCUUGAAAGGGUAGCUAAUACGGGAUAUUCUGGCCUGCUCGCAUGGGUGGGUUUGGAAAGGUUUUUUCUGGUGGGGGAUGGGCUCGCGGCCUAUCAGCUUGUUGGUGGGGUGAUGGCCUACCAAGGCGGUGACGGGUAGCCGGCCUGAGAGGGUGGACGGCCACACUGGGACUGAGACACGGCCCAGACUCCUACGGGAGGCAGCAGUGGGGAAUAUUGCACAAUGGGCGCAAGCCUGAUGCAGCGACGCCGCGUGAGGGAUGGAGGCCUUCGGGUUGUAAACCUCUUUCGCCAGUGAAGCAGGCCAUCUUCUUUGUGGGGUGGUUGACGGUAGCUGGAUAAGAAGCGCCGGCUAACUACGUGCCAGCAGCCGCGGUAAUACGUAGGGCGCGAGCGUUGUCCGGAAUUAUUGGGCGUAAAGAGCUCGUAGGCGGCUGGUCGCGUCUGUCGUGAAAUCCCCUGGCUUAACUGGGGGCUUGCGGUGGGUACGGGCCGGCUUGAGUGCGGUAGGGGAGACUGGAAUUCCUGGUGUAGCGGUGGAAUGCGCAGAUAUCAGGAGGAACACCGGUGGCGAAGGCGGGUCUCUGGGCCGUUACUGACGCUGAGGAGCGAAACUAGAGGGAGCGAACAGGAUUAGAUACCCUGGUAGUCCACGCCGUAAACGUUGGGCACUAGGUGUGGGGGCUCUUUCCGGGGUUUCCGCGCCGUAGCCGCCAUUUAAAGUUGCCCCGCCUGGGGGAGUACGGCCGCAAGCUAAAAACUCAAAGGAAUUGACGGGGGCCCGCACAAGCGCGGACAUGCGAUUAAUUCAUCAACCCAA
rnacentral:rRNA from 1 species